rnacentral:rRNA from 1 species
UUCCGCAAUGGACGAAAGUCUGACGGAGCAACGCCGCGUGAGUGAUGACGGCCUUCGGGUUGUAAAGCUCUGUUAAUCGGGACGAAAGGCCUUCUUGCGAAUAGUUAGAAGGAUUGACGGUACCGGAAUAGAAAGCCACGGCUAACUACGUGCCAGCAGCCGCGGUAAUACGUAGGUGGCAAGCGUUGUCCGGAAUUAUUGGGCGUAAAGCGCGCGCAGGCGGAUCAGUCAGUCUGUCUUAAAAGUUCGGGGGGCUUAACCCCGUGAUGGGAUGGAAACUGCUGAUCUAGAGUAUCGGAGAGGAAAGUGGAAUUCCUAGUGUAGCGGUGAAAUGCGUAGAUAUUAGGAAGAACACCAGUGGCGAAGGCGCACAUUUCUGGACGAAAACUGACGCCGAGGCCCCAAAGCCAGGGGAACCGAACCGGGAUUAGAUACCCCGGUAGUCCUGGCCGUAAACGAUGGGUACUAGGUGUAGGAGGUAUCGACCCCUUCUGUGCGGAGUUAACGCCA